rfam:Picea glauca, whole genome shotgun sequence.
AGGAGCCGGAUGAGAAGAAACUUUCAUGUCCAGUUCUAGAUUAGAGAUGGGAUCAAAAUACUAUUUACCAUCGACUAUAAC